rnacentral:rRNA from 1 species
UGGGGAAUAUUGCACAAUGGGCGAAAGCCUGAUGCAGCAACGCCGCGUGAGUGAUGAAGGUCUUCGGAUUGUAAAGCUCUGUCUUUUGGGACGAUAAUGACGGUACCAAAGGAGGAAGCCACGGCUAACUACGUGCCAGCAGCCGCGGUAAUACGUAGGUGGCGAGCGUUGUCCGGAUUUACUGGGCGUAAAGGGUGCGUAGGCGGAUGUUUAAGUGAGAUGUGAAAUACCCGGGCUUAACUUGGGUGCUGCAUUUCAAACUGGAUAUCUAGAGUGCAGGAGAGGAGAAUGGAAUUCCUAGUGUAGCGGUGAAAUGCGUAGAGAUUAGGAAGAACACCAGUGGCGAAGGCGAUUCUCUGGACUGUAACUGACGCUGAGGCACGAAAGCGUGGGUAGCAAACAGGAUUAGAUACCCUGGUAGUCCACGCCGUAAACGAUGAGUACUAGGUGUAGGAGGU